AGGAAGCACUUGCUGCUUCGCUGACGAGUGGCGGACGGGUGAGUAAUGUCUGGGAAACUGCCUGAUGGAGGGGGAUAACUACUGGAAACGGUAGCUAAUACCGCAUAACGUCGCAAGACCAAAGAGGGGGACCUUCGGGCCUCUUGCCAUCGGAUGUGCCCAGAUGGGAUUAGCUAGUAGGUGGGGUAACGGCUCACCUAGGCGACGAUCCCUAGCUGGUCUGAGAGGAUGACCAGCCACACUGGAACUGAGACACGGUCCAGACUCCUACGGGAGGCAGCAGUGGGGAAUAUUGCACAAUGGGCGCAAGCCUGAUGCAGCCAUGCCGCGUGUAUGAAGAAGGCCUUCGGGUUGUAAAGUACUUUCAGCGGGGAGGAAGGCGAUAAGGUUAAUAACCUUGUCGAUUGACGUUACCCGCAGAAGAAGCACCGGCUAACUCCGUGCCAGCAGCCGCGGUAAUACGGAGGGUGCAAGCGUUAAUCGGAAUUACUGGGCGUAAAGCGCACGCAGGCGGUCUGUCAAGUCGGAUGUGAAAUCCCCGGGCUCAACCUGGGAACUGCAUUCNAAACUGGCAGGCUAGAGUCUUGUAGAGGGGGGUAGAAUUCCAGGUGUAGCGGUGAAAUGCGUAGAGAUCUGGAGGAAUACCGGUGGCGAAGGCGGCCCCCUGGACAAAGACUGACGCUCAGGUGCGAAAGCGUGGGGAGCAAAACAGGAUUAGAUACCCUGGUAGUCCACGCCGUAAAACGAUGUCGACUUGGAGGUUGUGCCCUUGAAGGCGUGGCUUUCCGGAGCUAACGCGUUAAGUCGACCGCCUGGGGGAGUACGGCCGCCAAGG
rnacentral:rRNA from 1 species